rnacentral:tRNA from 1 species
GGUGGCUUAGUGGUAGAGUGCUUGCCUUGCAUGCAUGAGGCCGUGGGUUCGAUUCCUCAGCACCA